AUUAAUUGGAGUUAACUAUCCAUAUACGGCACUGUUGAUUCCCUUAAAAAUUUCAAACAAGGCCUGAUUAUGGGAGCUUCGUAUCUUAUUAAGGUGAAAUAGACGGACCCAAACGUUCUGAUAGCUGAAGCAGACCAGGAUUACUGGAUCGUCGUUUGCCAUUCCCAUAUCUUCAGCAGAAGACAAUUCGUAGCGCAUCUGACUUCUAUCGUUUAUGUUUCUGACAUGACAUGUGAUAUGGAAACAUGUUUUGUUCGUGCCUGUCUUUACAUCUACACGUAUUCAUGACUGUACAUGUUCACGUGCUCAUGUUUUUGGUAUGUGUUUCACAAGACAUGUUGUUCAAGAAAAUAGCAGGUGUCUUAUUUUACCUGUCUUUAAGAAACCUGUACCUGUCCGCCAUUACCUGUGUCCAAGAAACUUGUUCGUGUCCGCCAUUACCUGUGUUAAAUAAACUUGAACGUGUCCGCCAUUACCUGUGUUCAAUAAACUUGUACGUGUUUUCAAUUCCCUGUGUAAAAACAUUUGUACAUGUCCGUCGUAUCCUGUGUACAAUAACAUGUCCGUGUCUGACAAUACCUGUGUACAAUAACAUGUCUGUGUCUGACAAUACCUGUGUACAAAUACAUGUCCGUGUCUGACAAUACCUGUGUACAAAUACAUGUCCGUGUCUGACAAUACCUGUGUACAAUAACAUGUCUGUGUCUGACAAUACCUGUGUACAAUAACUUGUCCGUGUCUGACAAUACCUGUGUUUGAGAAACUCAGUCCGCCGUUUUAGGAUGCGUCAUUUCUCCAUCUGACAUUUCCUGUAUACAGACAUUUAAUGGAGUAUAAAUGUAGUUCCAUUUAAAAUAAUGGUUUUCUCAGUUUUCUAAUUUUGUUAUAAUUUAAAAUUGUUUAAAUUGUUUGCAUCUUAUAUAAAUUAUAUUUAAGUGUAAACAAGUUUCCAUGUAUUAUUUUAUAUAAUGUUGGUUUUUUUAUCAUUUACC